CCCCAGGGAGGGUGGGGCUUUGCCCAUCUGCCCUCACUGCCUGCCCUGUCUUGCAGGAAUUUCUACAAGGAUUAUCAGCAGCUGGAGCUGGCCCGUGAGACACAGGAGGAGGUGAAGAGCUGGAAGUCCUCCUUUCUGAGGGCUGGCGUGUACCUUGAGUGUGUUGGGGCCAGCAAGACCGAGGGGAAUGGCUCCGAUAGCUUCAUGCACUCCAUGGACCACAGCUGGAGCAGCAAGUGGAGACCAUUCAGAACAUGGCCAUUGUCAACAAGAAUGUGCAGGACCUCAUGCCCAAGACCAUCAUCCACCUCAUGAUCAACAACGUGCAUGUGCCGCCUCAUGGGGACCAAGGAGUUCAUCUUCUUGGAGCUGCUGGCCAGCCUGUACUUGAGUGGGAACCAGAACAUGCUGAUGGAGGA
rnacentral:lncRNA from 1 species